rnacentral:rRNA from 1 species
UACAGAGGUCUCAAGCGUUGUUCGGAUUCAUUGGGGCGUAAAGGGUGCGUAGGCGGCGCGGUAAGUCGGGUGUGAAAUCUCGGAGCUUAACUCCGAAACUGCAUUCGAUACUGCCGUGCUUGAGGACUGGAGAGGAGACUGGAAUUUACGGUGUAGCGGUGAAAUGCGUAGAUAUCGUAAGGAAGACCAGUGGCGAAGGCGGGUCUCUGGACAGUUCCUGACGCUGAGGCACGAAGGUCAGGGGGAGCAAACGGGG